GCCGGGCGUGGUGGCGUGUGCCUGUAAUCCCAGCUACUCAGGAGGCUGAGGCAGGAGAAUUGCUUGAACCCGGGAAGCGGAGGUUUCAGUGAGCUGAGAUUGCACCACUGCACUCCAGCCUGGGUGACACAGUGAGACUCUGUCUCAA
rnacentral:SRP_RNA from 1 species